CGGAGGAUCCAAGCGUUAUCCGGAAUCAUUGGGUUUAAAGGGUCCGUAGGCGGUCUUGUAAGUCAGUGGUGAAAGCCCAUCGCUCAACGGUGGAACGGCCAUUGAUACUGCUGGACUUGAAUUAUUGGGAAGUAACUAGAAUAUGUAGUGUAGCGGUGAAAUGCUUAGAGAUUACAUGGAAUACCAAUUGCGAAGGCAGGUUACUACCAAUUGAUUGACGCUGAUGGACGAAAGCGUGGGUAGCGAACAGGAUUAGAUACCCUGGUAGUCCACGCCGUAAACGAUGGAUACUAGCUGUUGGAAGCAAUUUCAGUGGCUAAGCGAAAGUGAUAAGUAUCCCACCUGGGGAGUACGUUCGCAAGAAUG
rnacentral:rRNA from 1 species